GGUGAACGCUGGCGGCGUGCCUAAUACAUGCAAGUCGAGCGAACAGACGAGGAGCUUGCUCCUCUGACGUUAGCGGCGGACGGGUGAGUAACACGUGGAUAACCUACCUAUAAGACUGGGAUAACUUCGGGAAACCGGAGCUAAUACCGGAUAAUAUAUUGAACCGCAUGGUUCAAUAGUGAAAGACGGUUUUGCUGUCACUUAUAGAUGGAUCCGCGCCGCAUUAGCUAGUUGGUAAGGUAACGGCUUACCAAGGCAACGAUGCGUAGCCGACCUGAGAGGGUGAUCGGCCACACUGGAACUGAGACACGGUCCAGACUCCUACGGGAGGCAGCAGUAGGGAAUCUUCCGCAAUGGGCGAAAGCUUGACGGAGCAACGCCGCGUGAGUGAUGAAGGUCUUCGGAUCGUAAAACUCUGUUAUUAGGGAAGAACAAAUGUGUAAGUAACUAUGCACGUCUUGACGGUACCUAAUCAGAAAGCCACGGCUAACUACGU
rnacentral:rRNA from 1 species